ACCUCCACUUCCGAAAUCCAGUGUACGAUGAGCUCUUCUUCUAUUUUCAUCAUCAGACAUCACAUCCAUUGUUGUAUCAAGUAGGUUUGCCAUAUCUUCGUCCUGAGUUUCAGGAACUUCCUCUAUGCCCUGUAUGUCAUAUUCUUUAUUAUUUAUUCUAAGGAUUUGCGAUUUCUGCACAACCUGAGUAGGUAAUUUCCCUGGGUCAACUCUUGGACAUCAAUCACAACCGCAG
rnacentral:lncRNA from 1 species